GCCCAGAUGGCGGAAUUGGUAGACGCGCUAGCUUCAGGUGCUAGUUCCUGUAUGGGAGUGGAGGUUCGAGUCCUCUUCUGGGCACCA
rnacentral:tRNA from 1 species